GACGAACGCUGGCGGCGUGCUUAACACAUGCAAGUCGAACGGAAAGGCCCUGCUUUUGUGGGGUGCUCGAGUGGCGAACGGGUGAGUAACACGUGAGCAACCUGCCCUUGACUUUGGGAUAACUUCAGGAAACCGGGGCUAAUACCGGAUAGGAGCUCCUGCUGCAUGGUGGGGGUUGGAAAGUUUCGGCGGUUGGGGAUGGACUCGCGGCUUAUCAGCUUGUUGGUGGGGUAGUGGCUUACCAAGGCUUUGACGGGUAGCCGGCCUGAGAGGGUGACCGGCCACAUUGGGACUGAGAUACGGCCCAGACUCCUACGGGAGGCAGCAGUGGGGAAUAUUGCACAAUGGGCGGAAGCCUGAUGCAGCAACGCCGCGUGCGGGAUGACGGCCUUCGGGUUGUAAACCGCUUUCGCCUGUGACGAAGCGUGAGUGACGGUAAUGGGUAAAGAAGCACCGGCUAACUACGUG
rnacentral:rRNA from 1 species